UACGUAGGGUGCAAGCGUUGUCCGGAAUUAUUGGGCGUAAAGAGCUCGUAGGCGGUCUGUCGCGUCGGCUGUGAAAACUCGGGGCUCAACUCCGAGCUUGCAGUCGAUACGGGCAGGCUAGAGUGCGGCAGGGGAGACUGGAAUUCCUGGUGUAGCGGUGAAAUGCGCAGAUAUCAGGAGGAACACCGGUGGCGAAGGCGGGUCUCUGGGCCGAUACUGACGCUGAGGAGCGAAAGCGUGGGGAGCGAACGGG
rnacentral:rRNA from 1 species